AGUGAACGCUGGCGGUAGGCCUAACACAUGCAAGUCGAACGGCAGCACAGUAAGAGCUUGCUCUUACGGGUGGCGAGUGGCGGACGGGUGAGGAAUACAUCGGAAUCUACUUUUUCUUGGGGGAUAACGUAGGGAAACUUACGCUAAUACCGCAUACGACCUACGGGUGAAAGCAGGGGAUCUUCGGACCUUGCGCGAUUGAAUGAGCCGAUGUCGGAUUAGCUAGUUGGCGGGGUAAAGGCCCACCAAGGCGACGAUCCGUAGCUGGUCUGAGAGGAUGAUCAGCCACACUGGAACUGAGACACGGUCCAGACUCCUACGGGAGGCAGCAGUGGGGAAUAUUGGACAAUGGGCGCAAGCCUGAUCCAGCCAUACCGCGUGGGUGAAGAAGGCCUUCGGGUUGUAAAGCCCUUUUGUUGGGAAAGAAAAGCAGCAGGUUAAUACCCCGCUGUUCUGACGGUACCCAAAGAAUAAGCACCGGCUAACUUCGUG
rnacentral:rRNA from 1 species